rnacentral:rRNA from 1 species
UCCGCCCGCUCGCUGCGGGCUUAACACAUGCAAGUCGAAGGGUGAAAUUCUUCGGGGGGGCAACGUGUCGAACGGGUGAGUAACCGGUUGGGUACCUGCCAUCGGCUCUGGGAUAAAUCACGGGACUUGGGGCUAAUACCGGAUGUUCAACGCUUCCCGCAUGGGUGGUGGUGGAAAGGGUUUCCGGCUGGGGAUGGGCCCGCGGCCUAUCAGCUUGUUGGUGGGGUAGUCGCCUACCAAGGCGACGACGGGUAGCCGGCCUGAGAGGGUGACCGGCCACACGGGGACAGAGACACGGCCCAGAGUCCUAAGGGAUGCAGCAGUAGGGGAUAAUGCGCAAUGGACGGAAGCCGCACGCAGCAACGCCGCGUGGUGGAUUACGGCCUUCGGGUAUUAAGCCUUUAUCAGCAGGGACUAAGCGCAAGUGACGGUACCGGCAGAAUAAGCACCGGCCAACUACGUG